GUUUUCAGAGUAUUUUCUGUGCCUACCUAGCUCAAAUUCAAAAUGUCGGAUUAAAACAACACUAUCGCGUCCAUAAAGUGGCCAUUGGAUUUAAAACAUUUCGGAUUGACUUCAUGUGUUAUCUGGAGUCAUUCCAUUGCCCUGCUGAAAAAUACCCCAAAGCGGGGGCAUUUUGGGUACACAAGCAUGAGGGAGGGGACACACCUUGAGGUUAUGGAGCACAACAAGAUUGUGGGCCUGAAACCAACAAGGGACACUGAAAGGAGACGUGCAGUACCAGCAAACCUUCUGCAAGAGGACCAAACAGUCGGUGUUUAAGAAGCCCUACACCACUUUCGGCAGUCUUAUCCAGCUGGCCGUUCACCGCAGACAGGACAAGCCCAUCGCCAUGAGCACAAAGAGUCUCAGCUUCCGCAGCCAACCAUGAUAAAGGACUAUGGCUGCAUUUACACAGGCAGCCCAAUUCUGAUAUUGUUAUCACUAAAUGGU